GACGAACCGAGCGAACGUUGUUCGGAAUCACUGGGCUUAAAGGGUGCGUAGGCGGCCAAUUAAGUAGGGUGUGAAAGGUUACGGCUCAACCGUGACAUUGCGCUCUAGACUGAUUGGCUCGAGUGAGAUAGGGGUGUGCGGAACUUCCAGUGGAGCGGUGAAAUGUGUUGAUAUUGGAAGGAACGCCGGUGGCGAAAGCGGCACACUGGGUCUUAACUGACGCUGAGGCACGAAAGCCAGGGGAGCGAACGGG
rnacentral:rRNA from 1 species